rnacentral:rRNA from 1 species
GACGAACGCUGGCGGCGUGCUUAACACAUGCAAGUCGAACGGAAAGGCCCUGCUUUUGUGGGGUGCUCGAGUGGCGAACGGGUGAGUAACACGUGAGUAACCUGCCCUUGACUUUUGGAUAACUUCAGGAAACUUGGGCUAAUACCGGAUAGGAGCUCCUCCUGCAUGGAGGGGGUUGGAUAGUUUCGGCGGUUGGGGAUGGACUCGCGGCUUAUCAGCUUGUUGGUGGGGUAGUGGCUUACCAAGGCUUUGACGGGUAGCCGGCCUGAGAGGGUGACCGGGCACAUUGGGACUGAGAUACGGCCCAGAGUAGUACGGGAGGCAGCAGUGGGGAAUAUUGCACAAUGGGCGGAAGCCUGAUGCAGCAACGCCGCGUGCGGGAUGACGGCCUUCGGGUUGUAAACCGCUUUCGCAUGUGACGAAGCGUGAGUGACGGUAAUGGGUAAAGAAGCACCGGCUAACUACGUG